rnacentral:rRNA from 1 species
AUUGAACGCUGGCGGCAUGCCUAACACAUGCAAGUCGAACGGAAACGAUGGAGAGCUUGCUCUCCAGGCGUCGAGUGGCGGACGGGUGAGUAACACAUAGGAAUCUGCCCAGUAGCGGGGGACAACUUGGGGAAACUCAAGCUAAUACCGCAUACGCCCUACGGGGGAAAGCGGAGGAUCUUCGGACUUCGCACUAUUGGAUGAGCCUAUGUCAGAUUAGCUUGUUGGUGGGGUAAUGGCCUACCAAGGCGACGAUCUGUAGCUGGUCUGAGAGGACGAUCAGCCACACUGGGACUGAGACACGGCCCAGACUCCUACGGGAGGCAGCAGUGGGGAAUAUUGCACAAUGGGGGAAACCUGAUGCAGCAAUGCCGCGUGUGUGAAGAAGGCCUGCGGGUUUGAAAGCACUUUCAGUAGGGA